rnacentral:tRNA from 1 species
CGGAGCGUAGCGCAGCCUGGUAGCGCACCUGGAUGGGGUCCAGGGGGUCGGAGGUUCGAAUCCUCUCGCUCCGA